rnacentral:lncRNA from 1 species
GGUAUGCCAAAUCUGCCACAAAUACAGGGAGUCCACUGUUCACACAGACAGAGUCUUCCCUGUAUUUGCACGGCGUCGCACAAGUACAAGAGUACAAACAGGAUACAACCACUACUACUGAACAUACAAAUAACCAUACAUUCAUAUAUCCAUACACCAUUCACCACAGAUUCAUAUAUAGAGAUUUGAACAUAAAUCCACAACUAUCAGU